GCCGCAUGUGGCCCCCGGACGUUCAUUUGCCCAGGUCUGUGCUAAGGUGAUCUCUAGAAGUGGUCCACACUCCAUGUCAGUAGGUGGCGGUAAUGCACACCAGAAGGUUGCUUGCCAACCUGCUAUAAAAACAAAAGAAGAAGAAGAAGAUCCACACUUCCGGGUGGUGAUGACGUCGCGUCGUGACGUCAUAUUUCAAAAUGGCAGAGCCCGCGGAAAGACCCCCUGGAGUCGACUCCAUUUCCCAAGAAAAGAUGUCAACAGCGCGACUUGUAACAAUUAUAAGGCCGAGGAGGGUUAUUUGAACACACACCAUUCAAUUAUUAUAAAUGAAAGUCACGUUUUUUAACCGCUCCGGUCUCGUCCCAGCGGAAGUGACGCUAGCACGUCAUCAGAAUACAACAGAUCAACACGACGAGAGAGACAUUCUGCCGCUAGACAAAGGUCACCGAGCAGCGACGAAGUUUGCAUUUUCGGUAGAGGUCCAGGGAGCCACGAGGGCGGUGCUAAAGAGACGCGGGUUGCUGACCCCCGGCCUACACCCUAGACUGGCCGCCAGUUCAUCACAGGACACAUGAACAAGCCUUCGCCCUCAAAUCAGAGAAGUAUUCAUUUACUCUAACAUGAUUUUUAUUCAGUUCAAUGCAUUUAUUGUCAUUGUCAUAGUGAAUAACACACACACUGCAUAGUAACCAUGUAUCAAAAAUGCGUUAGGUGGUGCAAUCCUGACCCAUGAAACGCGUAAACACAAAGGGUGCCACGAACGAUGCACAAAAUUCACAGUCUGGUAUGGAUCGGUACUUGAGCGGCGCCGUUCCAUACAUUUUUUCAAUACCCAAAAGAGGGAAAUGUUCAUGCCUUUUUUUUAACUUGUAGUUUAUUGAAAUUGUCGUUGUCCACGACAGAAAACGGUCGGCAAGGCGAGUUUAUUUACAGAGCACAGUUCGUACUACAGGCAGGCCAGUCUAGUACCCGCACUCUUUUACUACGAAGCCACGCUGUUGUAACACGUGCAGAAUGUGGCUCGGCGAUAUCUUACUGAAAUAAGCAGGGGCGGCCAUGAAAAAGACGUCGCUUGGAUGGCAACUUUUGUUGCUCCAAAACCUGUAUGUACCUUUCAGCAUUAAUGGUGCCUUCACAAACGUGUAAGUUACCCACUAAUACACCCCCAUAUCAUCAAUCUUUAUUGCAGACCUUAAGAUCCAUUUAAACAUAUAAAAACAGAAUAUAAUACAUUAAAAAACAAAACAAUAAAAACAUACAUUAAAAACAAAACAAAACAAGUUUUCCAUACAAUUACAGACGCUGGGUUUUCAACUUUGCGCCUAGAACAAUCCGGAUGGUUCUUUUCCUCUUUGGACCGGAGGACACGACGUCCACAGUUUCCAAAAACAAUUUGAAAUGUGGACUUGUCAGACCACAGAACACUUUUCCAGUUUGCAUCAGUACAUCUUAGAUGAGCUCGGGCCGAGCGAAGCCGGCGGCGUUUGUGGGUGUUGUUGAUAAAUGGCAUUCGCUUUGCAUUGUAGAGUUUUAACUUGCACUUACAGAUGUAGCGACCAACUGUAGUUACUGACAGUGGUUUUCUGAAGUGUUCCUGAGUCCAUGUGGUGAUAUCCUUUACACACUGAUGUCGCUUUUUGAUGCAGUACCAACACAAAUACAACUUUGAAACUACGUGCUUUCUGAGAAGAUUACCGUAGUAACUAGUAUAUCAUGCAAAAGCGCAGAUUCCAACCAAUCAGUCCAUCUUAGAUGAGCUCGGGCCGAGCGAAGCCAGCGGCGUUUCUGGGUGUUGUUGCAUUUAUCAACAACACCCAGAAACGCAGAGUUUUGAGGACGAAAAUGAAUUGAUACCAUUUUAGAAUAAGGCGGUAACAUAGCAAAAUGUGGCAAAAAAUGAAGCGCUGUGAAUACUUUCCGGAUGCAGUGUACAGUAUAAAGGGCAGAUCAAUAGAAGUGAUAAUUAGACGUUGCAGUUCAUGGGUGGGAUGUGAGAGAGGGUCACUGCCUGAGGAUACAGACGAGCUGUUGGCAAGUUGUCCUGGCACGUAUAGACCUGUUCCUUCUACCUGAGGGCCGCAGGUGAGGAGCAGGGUGUUGUUGGUCACGCAGGAUGCUGUGCACUCGCCUCAGACAGCAGGUAGUGUAGACUGUGCCCAUCUCUGGAAGACUUGAUUUUUUUUCAGCUGUUUUAAUCACCGAUUAGAGAGUCUGCUGUCAUGGCACACUUAUAAAAGCUCACUCUUACACUAGGAAGCGGAGUCAUUCAUUGCGCUUUACCUGACACAUGAAACGUGACAAAUACGAUCGCUGAGAUGAAAGGGAUCAGGCCCGUGAACAGGUUCUAUCCGGAUGAAUUUGCUAAGUAUACAAAUGAGCUGAAAUUUUUCUAUGAAAAAAACUGCUGUUUUAAAUGUGUCCACUAGAUGUGGCAAUGGCAAUUCUUUGUAUCUUUGUAGAUGAUGCUACAUACAGUAUGUACAAAAAAAAUAAAACACAUGAUGUUAGUGCAACAGUCGAAGAAAAUUAGCAAACUACAUAAAUAACAUCCUGUAAUUUGAUUUUGAUAUUUUUUUUUUUAUCUUGUUAGAUUGAAAAUGAACACCAAUGAGUUGACUGAUGAACAUUAUCACGUCAUUUAUUCAGAAAGUAUAAAUAACGACAAUUAAAGGUAGAACACUAUUAACUGCAACAUGUAAGUGUAAAAAAACAACAUGAUUUGUUUAUUUUUGAGAAAUUCUAUUUUUAAACCAAGAAAACAAUCUGAAGUUGUCUUUAUUUUUAAGUUAUCGUGCCGUGAUUUUACCAGUCCGGCCCACUUGGGAGUAGAUUUUUCUCAAUGUGGCCCCCGAUCUAAAAUGAGUUUGACACCUCUGGCCUAGAUAAAUUGGUAAACAUCCUCACAAAUAUUGAUAUAAAGCAUUACCGUAUUUUCCGGACCAUAGGGCACACCGGAUUAUAAGGAGCACUGCCGAUGAAUGGUCUAUUUUUGAUCUUUUUUUCAUAUAUAAGGCGCACCGGAUUAUAAGGCGCAUUAAAGGAGUCAUAAUAUAUAUAUUUUUUUCUAAAUGUAAAAGACUUCCUUGGGGUCUACAUAACAUGUAAUGGUGGUUCUUUGCUCAAAAUGUUGCAUAGAUGAUGUUUUACACAUCAUCUUCAAGCCGCUUCCGGGUGCGCCGUUUUGUGGGCGGUCUUAUUUACGUGGCUCACCUUCGGCAGCGUCUUCUCCCCGUCAUCUUUGUUGUGAAGUGUCAAAAGAUGGAGCUAACUGUUUUAAUGACAUUCAGACUUUACUUCAAUCAAUAACGGAGCAGCAUCUCCUCAUCCAGAAACAACAACACCAGAAAUGUGUCCCGUGAAAAACCGUCCGACCAGAACUCUAAUAACUAAAGUUCCUUGGGUGAAUAAUGGUAACUCACUACACCGAAAUGGCAACAGCAGAGGAUGGAUGUCCCAUAACAAGAAGGUGGAGAAAAAGAAGAAGCUUAUCGACUACGGUGUCGGCACGGACUACAAAGGCGGACCUGCACAAAUUUUCAGGUACCAGAAGGUAAGAAAAGUUUCUUUUGCAUAAUAUUGCGAAACAAAACACCAGAAAAUAUGUCUUACCUUAUACACACACCAUAAUAAUACUCCUAUGUUGAAGCACAGUACAAUCCAUCAAGCGGUGCAGUUUCAUAGCUGACCAAAGUCCUACUAAAACAUUUUGAUAGAUUUUUGAGCGCCGUGUGUAAUGUUCUAUAUUUUCAAGGGAGCAUAUACAAUGUUGGUGUUGUUUACUUGAGUCAUAUUGCGGUCUACACGAAAUCAAAUCAAAUCAAUAAUGGAGCAGCAUCUCCUCAUCCGGAAACAACCACACCGGAAAUGUGUCCCGUGAAAAACCGUUCAACCGGAACUCUCUAAUAACUAAACUUCCUUGGGUGAAUAAUGUAAACUCACUACACCGGUAUGUUUUAGCGCUUUCAUGGCAAGUUUACUGACAGAUAUAAGUGAGAACUUGACACUACUUUAUAUUAGAAAUGGCAACAGCGGAGGAUGAAUGUCACAUAACAAGAAGAUAGAGAAAAAGAAGAAGCUUAUUAACUACAAAGGCGGACACACAAUUUUUCAGGACUCAUGCAGAUCCCAAAUACAGAUCAGCAGGUACCAGAAGUUAAGAAAAAUUGCAUAAUAUUGCGAAACAAAACGCCAGAUAAUGUCUUACCUUAUACACACACCAUAAUAAUAGUCGUAUGUUUAAUGCGCCGACAAUCCUUCAAGCGGUGCGGCUUCAUAGCUGACCAAAGUCGUGCUAAAACAUUUUGAUAGAUUUUUGAGCGCCGUGUCUAAUGUUCUAUAUUUUCAACGGAACAUUUAAAAUGUUGCUGUUGUUUACUUAAAACCCAUCAUAGUGCAGGCUACACGUAUCUCUUAUGUUUGACUGCCAUCUACUGCUCACACUUAUAAUUACACCAUGUACCAAAUAAAAUAGCCUCGAGGUGGGUAAGCUCAACCAAACUUGUUCAUUACAUUAGGCGCAACUGUGUAAGGCGCACUGAGAAAUAAAAAAGGAUUUUAAAUGCGCCUUAUAGUCCGGAAAUUACGGUAAACGCAUUGGCCAAAAAGUGCAUUGUGUGUCCUCGCCGCGAUCUAUUUUACAUUGUUGAAAUGUCGGCAAAGCAAAUGUGAGUAUGUGAAGAACGAACCUGGAGUGAAACAGCGCACAAUUCAACGUCAAGUUCGGUCUCGAUACCUUUCAUCUUUACCAUGGAAAAAAGGACGUACGCCAGGUUUUUGUGCAUAAGCACAACAUAACACGAGGCCCCUGCUGAAUUGGGAUCUGGUCACCCUUAGAUAUAGAGCAGUGGGAAAAGUGGAAGUGUGCCUGCUAACUCUCACAUGCUGUGUGAUUUGAUAAUAACAUAAAAAAAGUCCACAAUCCAAUUUCACAGUGUGAUGUUCAGUCAAAGGUCGUGCACUUUGGAUCCUAUUAAAAGUUCAAAUGGACCGAGAGCACCCUCGCAUAAUGUAGGUGCACGGUGGUGAUGAUGGCGGUGGCAAAUUAAUAUGUACAGUACAGUACAUUAUUACCUUUUUAACACUAAAUUACAAACAAAAAAUGUUUUGCUAAA